rnacentral:rRNA from 1 species
CCCGUGUCGUGAGAUGUUGGGUUAAGUCCCGUAACGAGCGCAACCCUUGUCCUUAGUUACCAGCACGUUAUGGUGGGCACUCUAAGGAGACUGCCGGUGACAAACCGGAGGAAGUGGGGAUGACGUCAAGUCAUCAUGGCCCUUACGGCCUGGGCUACACACGUGCUACAAUGGUCGGUACAAAGGGUUGCCAAGCCGCGAGGUGGAGCUAAUCCCAUAAAACCGAUCGUAGUCCGGAUCGCAGUCUGCAACUCGACUGCGUGAAGUCGGAAUCGCUAGUAAUCGUGAAUCAGAAUGUCACGGUGAAUACGUUCCCGGGCCUU